UUCACUUUUAAUCCUUAGAGACCCAAACCCUACUCAUUCUCAACCCUACCCGGCCGCCUCUCUUUCUCUCAUCCCUAUCAACACCGUCAAUCACAAAUCAUUGCACAAUGUUGUCCAAGGUUACAGAUUCAAACCCCAAAUCACUCAAUCUAUCCCCUAAUCCACGAAUCUAGAUGAUUAUUUCUAUUAUCAUCACUACAUUUCAAAUCCCCCAAAUCAAAACCUAGACCUAAAAAUUCUAUAGAAAAUCGCUUAUUCUUCCUUCGGCCUUCCAAAUUCAUGGCAUGCAUGGUUGUUUAUCUCCUAUUUCAUCAUUGUUAUUCUUUAUCCAGAGGUCAAACGCAUUGAACUCUGGAUAUUAGGGCUUGACCGGUAGUCCAAAGGCUCCAACGAUUGACCCUCGUGCCCAGGUAAUCUCGGUGGUAUUUUCACCUCUAUUUGCUAUCAUCACUCGUCUGUCGUCACUUCCUACUACCAAUUUGAAUUCAAUCGGAACCCUGAGGCUUGAAAGUCAGUAUAAAUAGGGCCUUAAAUUUUCUCACCUACCAGACAUCAAUACACCUAACAACAACUAAAAAUACGAAAGAGCAUUAAAGAUUUUCUGCUAAGUUUACGUCUACUAGCUCAUUUCUAAUUUCUUUUUAUUCUUUUCAUCCCUGUUCGAGUUCGACCUAUGUGGGUUGCUCGUUGUUGGUUUUGGGUUCUUAAACAACUAACAAUCGAUUCCUACUUGGUUUGCUGCUCUACAGAAGGUCACUGUACACUGACCCUUUCUCUAUGUUUAAUUAAUUAUGCAAUUUUGUGUUUAUGAUAUUUUCUUUGUUGAUUACCCUUUGUUUAUGACAUACAUCAAUGGUUUGUGACUGUACUUGUCGUGUCCUGCUCUUACAUGUCAUUUUCACUGAUUGAGCUGAUAAUUUUCUGAUAAAUUAUGUUGUUUUGGUAUGCUAGUCAGUCUAUGAUGUUAAUGAAUUCCAUCUCCCAUAACUUAGCUAGAUAAAAUAUGUUCCGUGAUGUUGAUACUCUUGUGGAUAAAUCAUGCUAAACCUCUCAUCAUAAGUUGAGCUAAAGUCCUUAUGUUGGUCCUAUAUGUGUUCCAUCCCAGUCAGUUAAAUGAUAAUUAUAUUUUCAUGUUAGCCAAAUCAAUCAAGUUUCUUCUGAUGUCCUGUUAAGACUUCACAUCUGUUACACUGUGCUGUACUGAUCCUUAGGUGUGUGAUGUUCUGCCAUAUUAUUUUAGUUUAAAGUAACAAUGAUCCUCAUUACAGCUCAUGUCUUGCAUUUGAAUCUGUCUGCUCUAAAGACCUUAGUUGACAGUCUUGUUGUUGAAAUUAUGUAUGUUAUGUGCACUUAAUGAUUCAUGGAAGGUUGUCAUUAUAAAAGAAAUCAUGUAAUGAACCUUGCUAAGUCAUGUUAAGAAAACUAUUCUCUAUUGAUUCCUGAACUUGACACUUGCACUUUCAUUGAGAUUUCUACUACUAUAUUAAGGACGUUUUGCACCUGAGUUUAUAUCUGCCAUGUUAAUCCCUGCUAUGUUCAUAAACUAUCUUAUGACUUUGGUUUGAGAGAUUAUAUAUUCACACUCAUAUGUUAACUCUUUUAUUUGCCCUGGUUUUGACUCUACUAUGGUGUUGCAUUUGGUUUGGGUUUGUAAGUAUUUCCCUUUAAGGGAUUUUGUUCCUAUUUACUUGUAAUGAUCUAUUCCAUAUGACUCCAAUUAUUAGUUUCUACUGUGACUUGGCCCCUACAUGUUUGUCAUGUUAACUUAUACACAAACCAUGUAUUGAACCCUGUUGACAUGCUAUGCUAGUAAACUUGCCUAAAUAUUUAGAUGACAGUCCAUUAUAACUUGUUAGGAUAAAGAUGAAUGCUAUUACCCACAGCCUUAUAGCCUCAUAAUGUCAUUUCCUGUAGGGACUCAACCUGAAUCUGCUUAAGUCUGACAUUUAGAAAUCUUGAUGAUUUUUGUGAUCAGUCCAUUUGUAUUGGGUAAGACUAAGAUUGAUUCUUUUCCUGUUUAAUGACUUUUUUGUCCUGGCUAAGUGUAUGCCCCUCUCAGAAAGUUCUAAAUGAAUAUCACUAGUUUAACUGUUAGAAGUCAUAAAUGUCCACUGUUCGGCUUUAGAAAUGCCAGAGAAUGGUCCUUAUGAUCUAAACUUACUUAGAAGGAUUCUGAAACAUUAAACCUACAGUGGAAUCAAUAGAACCUGUAUUUGAGCUUUUCUCUGUUAAGUAUUAUCCUAUUAACACCUUAAAUCUGAAAUCCCUAAGAGAUGAACAUGCCUACUGUUGCUAUUAUUUGGAUCCUCCUAAUCAAUACUAUGUCCUUAGUUGUUAUUAUUCCUUGAAGAUGAACUGCAAUGCCUUGUUUGUACACUGUUACCAAUCUUUAUGUGUGUAUUGAACUCUCAAAAUAUUACCAUGGCUCCUACACAUGUUGUUUGUGAGUUAACAGUAUUAAUUCAUUAUGCUAACCUUUUUAUUUAUGUUUAAGCCUCUGAGGAAGACUAGAAGUAGGUGGUUAGUUGUAUUUGAAUGUGAAACUUGUUAUGGUUGCGAUCCCUCUCCUUAACACAAGCAUUGCUCGGGGUCCUUGAGACCCUCAUGAACUCUGAUGUGCCAAGAGUUCAAAAAGGGGUCAUAUCCAUAAAUAAGGAUUUAUACCAAGCUCUUAACCACCAACUCCUAUUAAUCCUCAUAGGAUUAGCACAAAUAAAAUCUACUUCACUAUAGUCCCCAACUCUUCAUUACUAUUUAUAAUUUUAUCUUGUUUAGUUUCUUUGUAGAAUUGAUAUGAAUUAAUUAUUCUCUUUUCUUUGUAUGCAUUAAUUCAUCCUGGGCCUGUUGAGCCCAUUUGGAGCUCAAGUCCACCGUCAGAUCUGGGUCGUCACAUUCAUGUCGCGUCUGCUACUCGUGCAUAUAAUAUUGGGCCUGCUUAAGCACUUAGCCCAAAUCGCCAAGAGUCCAGCCUCUUUUCCCUUUCUUAUGCUUAAUUAAAUUCAUUGUUGUUUACCAUGUAUAUGUGAAUGACUAACGCUAUCAUUAGAUCUUUGAUAUCCCGAUUUUCUUUAGGAAGUCGAAAAGCCAAGGCCCAUAGGUAAAAGAAUCGAGAACCAUAAAUUAUGUUUGCUUUAAACCCUCUAACAUUUAAUCAUUUAUUAGUUUCAAAUAUAUAUUUUAACAAAUGGAGAACCUCAGCAUGUUGUUACUGACAGUUUUCAAUAAGAUUGGACUUUUUGACAGAUUCAAAAGCAAAACAAAUUCUCUUUGAAAAGAUUAGAAUCAAGAGAAUAAUUAUGAAGCUGAUUUUCAAGAAACAAAACUAAACAUAGCCUGUGAUUGCAAACUAAACUAACCUCAAUGAGUGUCAAAACACAAAAUCCGUUUGAAGUUGAUUUUCAAAAUAGGUAUGCCCAUCCCAAUUUAUGGUAUAUUUUCUAGUAAUCUCUUAUUUUACCAAGUUAUAUAUGAUAACCGCAUAUUCAAAAACACUCAAACUUUCUUUUAAAUAUAGAAGUCCUUCACAAGAUUUUUCUUUUCAACUUUAAGAGCAUAUACAAAAGAGGAUUUUCAUAGAUUAUAAAACCUUGAAAAAGCUAUAUCUUCUUUUCAAAGUACAUACACACCCCCAUCUCCCAAAAUAGUGGAUUUUAAAUAAGUCUUAGAAUACUUUACAUAUUUAGGCACUUGACUAAGUAGAGUAUAGACAUUUACAUCCCUGAACCUAACCUAAGCCUAAGGAGCUACCUUGGGUAGAUUUUAAGGGGUGUGUAACAACCCGACCGAUCAUUUUAUGUAUUUGCACUCCUUUGAUACUUCAGACAUGCAAUAUUUUUGAUUUAUUACUUACUGGGUUGAUUGAUUUCGUUCCGGGAAUGUUUCGAGUUGAUUUGGACGCUUUGGUUAUUGGUUUAAAAGCCAAAGUUAGAAAUGUUGACCAAAGUUUGUCUUUUAUGGAAACGACCCAGAACGGUAUUUUAAUGGCCCUGAUAGGUUAAUAUCAUGAUUUUGGACUUGGGCAUAUGCCCGGAAUGGAAUUCGGGGGUCCGUAGGUUGAUUUGUGUUAUUUUACCGAAAGUUGGCAAUUUGAGGUUUAGAAGAUUUUUCAAGUUUGACCGUAGGUUGACUUUUGGCUAUCGGGUUUGGAAUUUGGUUUUGGUACUUAGAAUAGGUCCAUUAUGCUAUUUAAAACUUUUCUGCAAAAUUUGGCGUCAUUUGGAGUAGAUUUGAUAGGAUUCGGACGCUUGGUUGCAAUUCUAGAGGUUCUUGAAUUUUUCUUUGAAAUUCAUGCGUUUUGAUGUCCAAUUCAUAGUUCUAUAUGUUAUUUUUGUAUUUUUAUCGCAGGAGCGAGUUCGUAUGAUAUUUUUAGACUUGUAUGAAUAUUUGGUUUGGAGCCUUGAGGGCUCAGAUGAGUUCCGGAUGCGUUUCAGAAGGUUUGGACUGAAAAUAGGAUUUCUAGUGUGCUGGUGUUGUAGUUGUCGCAACUACGAGCACCAGCAUCACAAUUGUGAACUUGGCAGGGGGUCUCUGGUAUCACAAUUGCGAUACCUAGUUCGCAUUUGCGAAGUCUAGGAUUGGGUAGUUAAGUUUGCAUUUGCGAUAAUUAUCUCGCAUUUGUGAGGAGGAGGACGGACUUUACAUUUGCGAAGUCUGUGUCGCAAUUGCGACAUCUCCUGUAUCUGUCAGUAUCUGCAUUUGCGAGGCUUUCUUCGCAAUUGUGAGGGUUUGCAAUUGCGAACCCAGUGACGCAAUUGCGAUAUCUGCAACUGAACAUAAGGGCUGGAAGGUCGGGAUUAAGUCUCAUUUUUCAUAUUUGAGAACCCUAGACUCGGUAGAAGGCAAUUUGAAGAGAGGAUUUUCAUCUACAAAUAUUGGGUAAGUGAUUCUAAUAAAUUUUUAACUAUACUUCAUGAUUAUAUCUUAGGUUUAACAUCAAAUGUAUGAGGAUCAAAGAGGAAAAUUAGGAAUUUUCUCAAAGUUAGGAAAAAUAAAGAUUUGAGUUUUGAGAGUCGAUUUGGACUCGGAUUUGAAAACAAAACACAUAUAUGCACUUGUGGGAUUAUGGGUAGUCGGAAUCUACCCUUGGACCCGAGUUUUGACCAAGUGAGCCCAGGAUUGAAUUUUAUUGUCUUUUUGAGAAAUGUGUAAAGAUCAUAGCUUUAUCUAUCGUAAUUGGUUUCCCUUGCAUUGUUUGAUGAUAAUAAGUCAUUUUUGUUUAGAUUUGAGCCAUAUGGAGG
rnacentral:lncRNA from 1 species